CAAUAGCGUAUACUAAAGUUGUUGCAGUUAAAAAGCUCGUAGUUGAAUUUCUGGUCGUGGCAAUCGGUCAGCCCCUCACGGGGUUCGUACCAGGUUGCUGCGUCCAUCCUCGGGGAGAGCAUAUCGGGCAUUCAGUUGUCUGGUGUGGGAUCCUCGUCAUUUACUGUGAGCAAAAUAGAGUGUUCAAAGCAGGCUUAGGCCGUUGAAUACAUUAGCAUGGAAUAAUAAGAUAGGACCUUGGUCUAUUUUGUUGGUUUGCGUUCCAAGGUAAUGAUUAAUAGGGAUAGUUGGGGGUAUUCGUAUUCAAUUGUCAGAGGUGAAAUUCUUGGAUUUAUGGAAGACGAACUACUGCGAAAGCAUUUACCAAGGAUGUUUUCAUUA
rnacentral:rRNA from 1 species